rnacentral:rRNA from 1 species
UACAGAGGUCUCAAGCGUUGUUUCGGAUUCAUUGGGCGUAAAGGGUGCGUAGGCGGCGCGGUAAGUCGGGUGUGAAAAUCUUGGAGCUUAACUCCGAAACUGCAUUCGGAUACUGCCGUGCUUGAGGAGCUGGAGAGGAGACUGGAAUUUACGGUGUAGCGGUGAAAUGCGUAGAUAUCGUAAGGAAGACCAGUGGCGAAGGC